GGAGAGGUGCGAGAGCUGGUUGAAUCGGCCGGUCUCGAAAACCGGUAGGUCAUUUUUGGCCUCCUGGGUUCGAAUCCCAGCCUCUCCG
rnacentral:tRNA from 1 species